ACAAGCGGUGGAGUAUGUGGUUAAUUCGAUGCAACGCGAAGAACCUUACCUGGUCUUGACAUCCCGGAGACCCUUAGGAAACUAGGGGGUGCUUCCAUCUGGAAGAAUCUGGAGACAGGUGCUGCAUGGCUGUCGUCAGCUCGCGUCGUGAGAUGCUGGGUUAAGUCCCGCAACGAGCGCAACCCUUGCCUUUAGUUGCCAGCAGUUCGGCUGGGCACUCUAAAGGGACUGCCGGUGUUAAACCGGAGGAAGGUGGGGAUGACGUCAAGUCCUCAUGGCCUUUAUGACCAGGGCUACACACGUACUACAAUGGCCGAUACAAAGGGCAGCGACACUGCGAGGUGAAGCCAAUCCCGUAAAAUCGGUCUCAGUCCGGAUUGGAGUCUGCAACUCGACCCCAUGAAGUUGGAAUCGCUAGUAAUCGUGGAUCAGCAUGCCACGGUGAAUACGUUCCCGGGCCUU
rnacentral:rRNA from 1 species